GUGAGGAAUAUUGGACAAUGGGCGCAAGCCUGAUCCAGCCAUGCCGCGUGCAGGAAGACGCAUCUAUGGUGUGUAAACUGCUUUUGUACGGGAAGAAACACUCCCUCGUGAGGGAGCUUGACGGUACCGUAAGAAUAAGGAUCGGCUAACUCCGUGCCAGCAGCCGCGGUAAUACGGAGGAGCCAAGCGUUAUCCGGAAUCAUUGGGUUUAAAGGGUCCGUAGGCGGUUUAAUAAGUCAGUGGUGAAAGCCCAUCGCUCAACGAUGGAACGGCCAUUGAUACUGUUAGACUUGAAUUACAAGGAAGUAACUAGAAUAUGUAGUGUAGCGGUGAAAUGCUUAGAUAUUACAUGGAAUACCAAUUGCGAAGGCAGGUUACUACUUGUGGAUUGACGCUGAUGGACGAAAGCGUGGGGAGCAAACGGGAUUAGAUACCCGGGUAGUCC
rnacentral:rRNA from 1 species